AUAUGGCGCGGUCAGGAAAAAAAUUUCGGCAUGUUAUUAUCAAAUCUGUUCAAUUUUUCUGAAAUCAUGCUUAAUUAACAUUAGUUGUUCGGCGCUACGAUGUUGUUCAAAUACUUACAUUACAGAAUCACAUUAUGAUUAAAGCAGAAACGGCUCGACUUGAACCAGCAGGUAAGAAUCUGUUUUGAAAUUAUAUCUUGGGAGGUUGGAUUGGCGUUGGAGACCCGAUUGGCGGCCAUUUUGAUUCUUGUUUCAUGAUUUUUUUAUAUUAUAACGAUUUUGCCAAGAGUAGACAUAAACGCGGGCACAGACUAGAAAAAAAUCUUUUUACACUUUUGUGUUAGUUGAAUUGUAAUCUAAUUUAUGUUUAAAAAAACAACUUUAAAUCUAAUAAGCAGACGGAAGAUAUGGACGAACAACAAGAAGAAGUUAUGGAGGUCCCAACAACUGAACCUAUGGAAGUAGAAGAAUCGUUUACAGCCGAAACCCGAUACGAUGUGCCAGUUCCGGUCAUGGAGUCCUCCAUCUCAGACGAUGCCGACGUUAGUGUCUUCUGCGACGAAGAACCCGUAGUGGUGUAUACGCAGGUAGAAGCUGGUACCUCCCGUGGCAAGUCCAAGUUGUUUGACAACCAAGGGUUUAGUUAUACAAUUAAGACAGAGAAGAAAACUACGAUUUGGAGGUUUUCCAAAAGAAGCGGACCAACACGAUGUCCGGCAACAGUAAUCCAAGAUGGUGAUACAUACCAACCAGGCUUAAAGAACCAUUUUCACCCAGCAGAACUCGGUAUACACACGGCUACCAAGAUAAAAGUUACAGCAAAGCAUGAAGCCAAAGGAAAUGUUUUUACCAAGUCAUGUUCCUCAAUAGCGGAGAGAGUUUUAUCCAGUGUCGGGUCUGCAGAAGAACCCAUUCAUAGCAGACCACCCAUGGC